AUUGAACGCUGGCGGCAGGCCUAACACAUGCAAGUCGAGCGGAUGAAGGGAGCUUGCUCCUGGAUUCAGCGGCGGACGGGUGAGUAAUGCCUAGGAAUCUGCCUGGUAGUGGGGGAUAACGUCCGGAAACGGGCGCUAAUACCGCAUACGUCCUGAGGGAGAAAGUGGGGGAUCUUCGGACCUCACGCUAUCAGAUGAGCCUAGGUCGGAUUAGCUAGUUGGUGGGGUAAAGGCCUACCAAGGCGACGAUCCGUAACUGGUCUGAGAGGAUGAUCAGUCACACUGGAACUGAGACACGGUCCAGACUCCUACGGGAGGCAGCAGUGGGGAAUAUUGGACAAUGGGCGAAAGCCUGAUCCAGCCAUGCCGCGUGUGUGAAGAAGGUCUUCGGAUUGUAAAGCACUUUAAGUUGGGAGGAAGGGCAGUAAGUUAAUACCUUGCUGUUUUGACGUUACCAACAGGAUAAGCACCGGCUAACCUCGUG
rnacentral:rRNA from 1 species